CGGACAUAUUAUGUUAAAACGCCGGUUCUUGUAAGAUCACUGAAGUUAAGCAAGCUCGAGCCUGGUCAGUGCCUAGAUGGGCGACCACUUGGGAAUAUCAGGUGCUGUUA